rnacentral:lncRNA from 1 species
CAUCAUGUAAUUUUCGACUCUAAAUCAUGUUGAAAUCCCGUUCACGAGUCAAAACAUAAAUCUAACAUAUAUGACUCCCAACAUGACAAAAUACAAGUUCAUGAAAAGAGUAAAGUAAUCCAACAACAAACAAAGGGACAAGAGUUGCCUGGGAACAUAAAAGAAAAAUGCAAAAAAAAUAUAAUAAUAAAAUAAGAUGGCAUGAGUUGAAAAGAAGCUUCAAUAAUGAAGGAGACAAUUGGAUUUGUACCAAUAUUCUGUAUUAAGCAAAGAAGGACAAAUAACUACCCAUAUCAAGACAAGUAUUAAGAUUUUUGGGGAAAAAGACCACAAUAACUUUACACUUAUAUAUAUACACAUACACACCAACUACAAUAUAAAAACAAGAUAAAAUAAUUUUUGGCUAAUGUUAGCACACGAGUCACAUUU